AACGAACGCUGGCGGCAGGCUUAACACAUGCAAGUCGAGCGCCCCGCAAGGGGAGCGGCAGACGGGUGAGUAACGCGUGGGAAUCUACCCAUCUCUACGGAAUAACGCAUGGAAACGUGUGCUAAUACCGUAUACGUCCUUCGGGAGAAAGAUUUAUCGGAGAUGGAUGAGCCCGCGUUGGAUUAGCUAGUUGGUGGGGUAGAGGCCUACCAAGGCGACGAUCCAUAGCUGGUCUGAGAGGAUGAUCAGCCACACUGGGACUGAGACACGGCCCAGACUCCUACGGGAGGCAGCAGUGGGGAAUAUUGGACAAUGGGCGCAAGCCUGAUCCAGCCAUGCCGCGUGAGUGAUGAAGGCCCUAGGGUUGUAAAGCUCUUUCGCCGGUGAAGAUAAUGACGGUAACCGGAGAAGAAGCCCCGGCUAACUUCGUGCCAGCCGCCGCGGUAACAC
rnacentral:rRNA from 1 species